rnacentral:rRNA from 1 species
GACGAAGGGGGCUAGCGUUGUUCGGAAUUACUGGGCGUAAAGCGCGUGUAGGUGGUUGUCCAAGUUGGAUGUGAAAGCCUUGAGCUCAACUCAAGAAAUGCAUUCAGGACUGGGCGGCUAGAGGACCGGAGAGGAUAGUGGAAUUCCCAGUGUAGUGGUGAAAUACGUAGAGAUUGGGAAGAACACCUGAGGUGAAGACGGGUUGCUGGGCUGACACUGACGCUGAGGCGCGAAAGCUAGGGUAGCAAACGGG